CCCAUUGUGAUGUCAUAGGCCCAUGCCCUGUGGCUACAUAAUCUCUCAUCCAGGCAGUUUACUGCAAUAACAUCUUGGGAGCGUCAGUGAAACAUUUAGAGACUACUAUAGGAUACUUACCUGUCCACUGAAGUUGCAGAAAUCCUCAGGAACAGGACUCUGGAGAGCUGCAGAAGUGUGACUUUACUAGCUGCAGACAUGCUGAACACCGGCUGCAGAGGCACUUCCUGAAGAACAAGCGGAGGGCAGUGCUGUAACUUCUGCCAUCCACAUUAAAGCAGCACAGCAUUCAUCUACAGGCGCCAUUUUCCCCACAAGAUAUGCACAGAUAUGCAUGUAGAGAAAUUACUGUGAAAAUGGUGCUGACGCCAUUGCUCUGGAAAUAUAAGUGUGAUCCGGCAGGUGAGUAGGGCCCACGCGGAGAGAGCACAUAAGCCCCCUGCUGUCUUAAAACACCCUGAAUAAGAAGCUAUAACUCAACAACAAAAAAUAAAGCAACCAUUCGUGAUAUCA